CCAUUUGCCCGGCAAGUCCAUCCUUGGCUACACCUUACUCUCUACCUCUCCUGUAUUGCUUUUGCAUGGCCUGGAGAAAUUUGAAUUUGCUCGGUGCCUCUUCUUCCAUAGGGGUAACACUAGUGAGCCAGAAGCGACCAGAAUCAGAAAGGAUGACUCAGAAGAAACAGUUCGAUCAUUGACGCUCAUUCAUAGAAAAGGGGUGCAGCUAUAAAUUAGAAUCAUGUAUCUUCUGGUGGUCAUAUCUAAGGCAGAUCAUUGGUAUUUAAUGUGUGCUUGGAUAAUAAUUUCAUAUUUUCCCAUGACAUGGAAUUGCGGAACAACGACAUGAAUAUGUCUAACAACGUAAACUAAAUUUUCGAGCCCUCACAAACACAUUUACCUAUAUUUACUCUGAUAUAGUCCACAUAUGAAAUGUUUGCUAACAUCAAAUAUUUAGGAGACAUAACUGGCACCUCAGACUAUUAUGUAGGAUGAUAAAUAUCGUGAUCAAACAGCAAAGAAGUCCACUUGAUUGGGACACUUCCACAGAAGCCAUGGCAGCAAGGCAGCACUAUUCUGAAAACAAAACUAUACUUGCAGUUACUGCUGAAAACAAAUGUGUGGUAGCAUUAUCCCUACAUUAUUCCAAAUUUAUAAUAUACCAGCCAGUUAAAUAUUUUUUUUGAGGGGUACCAGCCAGUUAAGUGGAUACAAGAUUGUAUGGUGUGAAUUGUUCAAAAUAGCAAAAAUCUCAGUAGCACUGGAUGAACUUAAAUGGCAGUAAUGAAUGAUGACUACUUCAAGA